rnacentral:rRNA from 1 species
UAGGGAAUCUUCGGCAAUGGGGGGAACCCUGACCGAGCAACGCCGCGUGCGUGAAGAAGGUUUUCGGAUCGUAAAGCUCUGUUGUUAAGGAAGAACGAGUGUGAGAAUGGAAAGUUCAUGCUGUGACGGUACUUAACCAGAAAGGGACGGCUAACUACGUGCCAGCAGCCGCGGUAAUACGUAGGUGGCAAGCGUUGUCCGGAUUUAUUGGGCGUAAAGCGAGCGCAGGCGGUCAAUUAAGUCUGAUGUGAAAGCCCCCGGCUCAACCGGGGAGGGUCAUUGGAAACUGGUUGACUUGAGUGCAGAAGAGGAGAGUGGAAUUCCAUGUGUAGCGGUGAAAUGCGUAGAUAUAUGGAGGAACACCAGUGGCGAAGGCGACUCUCUGGUCUGUAACUGACGCGGAGGCUCGAAAGCGUGGGUAGCAAACAGG